GAUUGCAGUCUGCAACUCGACUGCAUGAAGCCGGAAUCGCUAGUAAUCGCGGAUCAGAAUGCCGCGGUGAAUACGUUCCCGGGUCUUGUACACACCGCCCGUCACACCAUGGGAGUCGGAAAUGCCCGAAGCCGGUGGCUUAACCGAUAAGGGAGGAGCCGUCGAAGGCAGGUCUGAUGACUGGGGUGAAGUCGUAACAAGGUACC
rnacentral:rRNA from 1 species